UGCCUAAGACAUGCAAGUCGAACGGUUCUAAUAGCAAUAUUAGGAUAGUGGCGCACGGGUGAGUAACACGUAACUGACCUGCCCUUUAGUCUGGCAUAACAAGUCGAAAGAUUUGCUAAUUCCGGAUGUGAAGCUACACUGUGGUGUAUCUUUAAAGAUUUAUCGCUAAAGGAUGGGGUUGCGGCGCAUCAGCUAGUUGGAGAGGUAAAGGCUCACCAAGGCAACGACGCGUAACCGGCCUGAGAGGGUGGUCGGUCACAGGGACACUGAGACACGGGUCCCACUCCUACGGGAGGCAGCAGUUAGGAAUCUUCCCCAGUGGGCGAAAGCCUGAGGGAGCGACGCCGCUUGAAGGAUGAAGGUUUUCGGAUCGUAAACUUC
rnacentral:rRNA from 1 species